CUGAGUUACCGCUCAUCAACCCUUUGUGAACAUACCUUAACUGUUGCUUCGGCGGGUAGGCGUCCCCUAAAAAGGACGUCUCCCGGCCCUCUCCCGUCCGCGGGUGGGGCGCCCGCCGGAGGAUAACCAAACUCUGAUUUAACGACGUUUCUUCUGAGUGACACAAGCAAAUAAUCA
rnacentral:misc_RNA from 1 species